UGGGGAAUAUUGGGCAAUGGGCGAAAGCCUGACCCAGCAACGCCGCGUGAGGGAAGAAGGUUUUCGGAUCGUAAACCUCUGUCCUUGGGGACGAAAGAAAUGACGGUACCCAAGGAGGAAGCCCCGGCUAACUACGUGCCAGCAGCCGCGGUAAUACGUAGGGGGCGAGCGUUGUCCGGAAUUACUGGGCGUAAAGGGUGCGUAGGCGGCCUUUUAAGUCAGAUGUGAAAGGCUGCGGCUUAACCGCAGGACUGCAUUUGAAACUGGAAGGCUUGAGUGUCGGAGAGGGUAGUGGAAUUCCCAGUGUAGCGGUGAAAUGCGUAGAUAUUGGGAGGAACACCAGUGGCGAAGGCGACUACCUGGACGAUAACUGACGCUGAGGCACGAAAGCUAGGGGAGCAAACAGG
rnacentral:rRNA from 1 species